rnacentral:rRNA from 1 species
GCCAGACUCCUACGGGAGGCAGCAGUGAGGAAUAUUGGUCAAUGGGCGCGAGCCUGAACCAGCCAAGUCGCGUGAGGGAGGACGGCCCUACGGGUUGUAAACCUCUUUUGCCGGGGAGCAACGGGCGUCGCGUGUGGCGCCACUGAGAGUACCCGGAGAAAAAGCAUCGGCUAACUCCGUGCCAGCAGCCGCGGUAAUACGGAGGAUGCGAGCGUUAUCCGGAUUUAUUGGGUGUAAAGGGUGCGUAGACGGGUUAGCAAGUUAGUUGUGAAAUCCCUCGGCUUAACUGAGGAACUGCAACUAAAACUGCCAAUCUUGAGUGCAGGAGAGGUAAGUGGAAUUCCUAGUGUAGCGGUGAAAUGCGUAGAUAUUAGGAGGAACACCAGUGGCGAAGGCGACUUACUGGACUGUAACUGACGUUGAGGCACGAAAGUGUGGGGAGCAAACAGGAUUAGAUACCCCAGUACGC